rnacentral:piRNA from 1 species
UGCUGAUGGUCCAUGCUGUCAUUCACAUCGUC